CAAACACACGACGUCGCAAAGACGUCUUUUUAUAGUUGUUUUGGGGUCGCGACGUCGGUGACCAGAAUCCGACGUUGUUCCAACGACUUUACACCGACCAAAGUCCGACGUCGCUAUCCCGACGUUGUACCAACGGCUUUACAGCGACCAAAAUCCGACGUCGCUAAUUCCGACGUUGUUCCAACGGCUUUACAGCAACCAAAAUCCGACAUCGCUAUUCCAACGUUGUAAAAACGUUGGAACAACGUCAUUAGAUCUACUGAAACUUUAAAAUAUUUCAAGCUGCAAAAAUAAUUUCAUUGCGUGAAUACUUUAUUGCAUUUUUGUCGUUUAGCGCUAUUCGUCAUGUCGUGAGGUUAGUAACAUUAACCAUCUAACAUUAACUCGAAAGAGUUCCGUCCCAUGAUUUCCGACAUGUGUUCGAAAUUGACCAAUCAAAACAGGUCUAGCUCACGUGCCUUUUUGCGCUCGUUCAUGUUGUUGAUCGGAGUUUUGAAAACUCGUGGAAGUAUUUAAAAAGCGCCCUGUACAGAUUAUAUGUCAAAUCAUGGCUUCUCCACCUGUUUCCAUGUUGUCUGCUGUUGGAAGAACAUCUAUGAGGGACUGUGAAUAGAAUCUUUAUCUUCUGCUUAUAUACAACACUUACUCAUGGGCCAGUGGCACAAUUUCUAGCUGUACAAGGAUAUCAUGGUGUUUGAUAA
rnacentral:lncRNA from 1 species